CAUUCCAUUCUUCCAGCGGCAGUCUCCAACUUCCAGAGGCAGAUGGCUUCAUGGCUUCAUUUCCUCGAUUUGACCCAAUCCCCUAUUUCUACACUAACUUCCUGUCCUUAAUUCUGGCUUCACCUCCACCCAAGGAAAUCGCUGUUCCCUGGGUUCCCUCAUGGAUCCCCCUCCUCAUCUGCUCGUGCCCUCGGGCCCCCUCUCUCCAGCAUCAUCAGUUUGCUAUCCCCUUGGCGCCUUUCCAUCAGGAAUCUACAGUUAUGGUAGCUGCAUUCCUCAUCCCUACCCAUCUCUCCACUCCCUUUACAGAAAAAUCCCACCGAAGGUUUGCUUACAUUCACUGCCUUCACUAGCUCACCCAUCCUCUCCUGAACCCGCGCUAGUCAAACUCUGAUUCCAACGGCUCCACAGUAACCUCUGUGAUGAGAACCACCAGCCGCCUCUAAGUCUUGCUGAACACGGAGGAUACUCCUCAGUCCUCCUUCACUUGCCCCUUGGCAGCAUCGUGACAUGGCUGAUCGCGCCCUCUCUUUGUGAAACCCUUUCUAUCCUGGGCCUCUGCAAUACCACACUCUCCUCCUUCUCUUCCUCCCUUGCUAGCCACUUGCUCCUUUCACCUUCCACUGGCUCUGCCCCCUUGUGCCUCUAAAUCUUAAAGUUCCUCCAGACUAGUCCUCCCUGCCUCCCCUCCUGGCCCUCACUCGCAUGUGAUCUCCUCAUUUCAAACAGCAUGUCGGUGAGGAUGACUCCAAGUCACAUCUCACCCGAGGCUCUCCUCCCGUGCUCCUGCCCACUGCAUGGCCCCUCCGGGAUCACAAGGCCCUGACAUGCUCCUGAUUUAACCUCUGUAUCUCUUAGACAGUAGGUGCUAUGUUCUAAAGUGAGGUGUGGAGAUCACUCCUCAGGAUUUGCACAGAAGAGGUGAAACUGUUUUGUGUGAUGUUUAUCCACUCAUGCACACCAGGAGUGUUAAGAGGUCAGAGGCUGGGGCUGGGGCUCAGUGGUAGAGCACUUGCCUAGCACGUGUGAGGCACUGGGUUCGAUCCUCAGCCCCACAUAAAAAUAAAUAAAUAAAGGUACUGUAUCCAUCUACAACUAAAAAAAAAAUUUAUUUAUUUAUUUUUUUUUAAAGGAAGUGCCCUAGGGGAUGCUUUGCACUAACCUAGGUCAUCAUGACAUCAGAGGUAAGAGGAGCCGGGUGCAGUGUCACACACCUGUAAGCCAGCAACUUGGGAGGCUGAGGCAGGAAGAUCUCAGUUAAAAGUCAGCCUCAGCAACCUGUUGAGGCCCUAACCAUCUUAGCAAGAUCCUGUCUCUAAAUAAAAUAUUUUUUUUAAAAAGGGCUGGGGAUGCGGCUCAUUGGUGAAGCACCCCUGGGUUCAAUUCCCAGUACCAAAACAACAACAACAACAACAACAAAAAACAUUUGGAGUAAGAGGCUUCCUGCCACACUACCUCUCUCCUCCCUCCCACUGAGACUUUGAAGAGAUUGGAGUCACAGUGGCAUGACACAGAGAUAAGAAAUAAAGAGGAGGACGGGAGAGAGAGGAGACAUCUACCCCACUCUCCUUUCCAGCCUCAGCACUCCAGGCCAGGAGAGGAGAACUGAAGAGAAAUGAAGAUCAACGUUGUUGUCAUUAGACCAGAUUGGCCUCGUUAACUACUGAACGGAGACUGUCUCUGUAGCCAGAAGACUUUACCUUCUGCAAAAGCCUAGGUCAGGCGGAAACUCCCCCGAACAGAACAUGUUUAAAUGGCUGGUGAGGGGAAAACGGAGUUGCUUUGUAAUUACACGCAGCAAACACUCCUUCUGGUUUGUCACGGUGGCUGGUACCUUGAACUGAGCCCCACAGAGCUCCUUACUUCUGCACUUCUGUUUCACUCCGACUUCUCUAGAUCAAGGAGUGGGUCCAUAAUCCACCCGGCCCUCAGGACAAAACUCUAGGAGUGGGGCGUUUUGACUUGCUCCCUCACUCACCACGUCAGACAGGAAGCAGCUCUGCCAGCGUGUUCACCUCCCGCGCCCGGGCUCCGGCCACCAGGCUCCUCUGCCUAGUCCCUGGCCUCCGAACGGCUCUCUUGCCCCUGCUCCUACAUAACUGGUUGUAUGGCAGCCUUACUCUUCUGCGUACAGGGUUAUUUAGAUCAUGUUUCUACUACUCAAAACCUUGGAAAGGCUUCCCGUCCACUGUGUCUUUCAUGCCAGCUCCCUGUCAUGGCCUGUGACCCUGCCACCCCGGCACCCACCUCCCCCAGUCUCACCUCCUGCCUUUCCCUCCUCGUUCACUGUGCUGCAGCUCUGCUGGCCUUAUUUGGCUGAUUCCUGAACGUGCCAACCUCAUCUCAGGUGGCACCUGUGCCAAUCCAUGUGUCUGGACUCCCCCGGGGUCUCUCCAGGGCCCGCCUCACUCCCUCAGGCUGCUACACACCCGUCCUCUCUUCAGAGAAGCCUUCCCCGACUUCUCCACCCCACACAGUCCCCUUGCCCAUCCCCACCCGAUGCCCCCUUGGCCUGUUUGAUUUGCCUCACUUGCACGAUGACCCCCGUCUAGUCGUUUGGUUAUCGGGUCUCCCCGGCUCAGAGGAGGUCCAGGUGCAUGUUAAAACUUUGAGGAAGCAAGCACACACGUGGGAGGACACUAAAACAUGACAGCACAAGGAGCUAAAACACAAAAUAGAGUUUUAGUAAAUUUUCAUGAGUGAGUAAAAAAAUCCUUUAGGGAGCAGGGACAUGGACAGACAGGAAGGAAGUCAGGCGGACAGAUGGCACACUGGAAACACAGGUCCUUCGCUUUCUCUUCCUUUCCCUUUUCUUCCUGCAGGUGGUCCUUUAUUGAAUAUUUUCUUUUGUACUUCUUAACUAGCUGGGCAUACUGCUGUCGGUGUCACCUAUGAUGUCAUCAGGGUGGUGGCCAUCAACAUUGCAACCGUCUGGCCGGUCCCCAGGACCUCUUGAAGGAGUCCAGAAAGUUCUCUGGCUAAAGCUGAGCGAAGGUCCUGAGGAGCGAACGCGCCCUGGCCUGCCUUCCCUGGGACCGUCUGACUCUGCCACAGACAAGCCUGCCUCUUCCACUCCUGCUGCCAUCACUGGGGCACCUCCUUAGUCCAUGGAAGAGACUCCAGUCUGCCUCCUUUUUCCAGAGGGAGUUUUACACUCUUGCCUAAAAUACAAAUCCCCACUUUCCCCAACAAGGCAACCUUCUCCUUAUCUGAGUCACACUCUGCUAACAAGAGUGCUGGGGAUUGAACCCAGGGCCUCAUGCUUGGGAGGCAAGCACUCUACCAACUGAGCUACAUCCCCAGCCCGCUGCUUACUGUUAAACCACGCCUCACGAACCCUGAGAAGUGCAUGCCGGUCAACUCCAACUCUGACAUCAUCUGUUUCUACUUCUUAUUUUUAUUUGUUUUUUCCUGAGACAAGGUCUGGCUACACUGCUCAGGCUGGCCCUGACCGUCCCUGCUCAGCCUCUGGAGCUGCUGGGAUGUAGGCACGCACCCCCACACCUGGCUCCACCUGUUUAUACUUUAUCAGGAAGAGCCCCCGGCCAGGAGUCCUGCCAGCACCAAGCAUCUCUAACGCCCUCCAGCUCCAGCUGCAAGCACUGAUUGAUCAGAUCCUGAACCUAUUCAGGGAAAGGAAGGGGAAAUCAUGACUGCUAACUGGCACUUUUUAGGACCAGGGACUUGUAGGUUCAUUUUUCUUCCAUCUUACUUUUUUACAGCUUUGCUGGGGUAUAAUUUAUAUACCUCAAAAGUCACUCAUUUUUAAGUGUAAAGCCAAUGGUUUUCAGUAUAUUCACAAAACUGUGCAGUCAUGACCUCAAUUUAAUUUUAGAUGAAAUCUGUGGGCCCUAAAACCUCAUGCUUAUCUACAGUCCCUUCCAUUCCCAGUCACUGGCAACCACUAGGUACCCUCUGUCUCUAUAGAUUUGCCUUUUCUGGACAUUUUAUAUGAAAAUAGUCAUAUAAUAUGUGGUCUUUUGUGACUGGUUUCCUUUGCUGAGUCUAAUGAUGUUGUAUUAAUAUUUCUUUCCUUUUUAUUGCCAAAUUGUAGUCCAUCAUAUGGCUACUUCAUACCUUGUUCAUUCAUUCAUCAGUUGAACACUGGAGUUGUUUCCAUUAUUAUUAUUAUAAUUUUUUUGGCUAUUGUGAACAAUGCUGCUGUGAAUGCUCAUAUUCUAAUGUUUUUUAUAUGAACGUAAGUUUUUAUUUCUCCCAAGCAGAAUGCUAGAUGUUGAAUUGCUGUGUCACGGUAAUCUAGUGUUCAGCAUUUUGAGAAACUACCAAACUGCUUCCCAGAGUUGCUGUACUUUUUUACAUUUCCUCCAGCAAUGUCUGAGGGAUAACAUUACUUUCAAUCAGAUUAUUACAAGUUGUGUAGUUACACACAGAAAUCGCUUUACUUUUCAUUGCAAACCUAGUUAACCGAGAAGGAUUCCCAUGUUUCGUGCGUGGCUGCAGGCACGAUUUCUCUGCUUAUGACAUCCUUUCACUCUGGAUACAAUACUGCAAUAGCUAUCAUCUACCAAAACUAGUUCCAAACUCCAUUUAUACCAUUCCAAUUUAACUAAAGGUCUCUUAACCUUUAACUUUAGUACAAGAGUUCAAGCAUUUCCCCCAUUUCUGUACUCAUUACUUAUGUUAUCUAUUCCUUAAGCCAGAAAAGCCAGAGGAAAGUUGUCACCUCACCCACACACCACAGUAGGAACAGCCUGAUGUCAGGCGGCAAGGGAGCCUCAUGAGACCUUGGCACAGACUCUAGCAAUUGAAAGGAUGGCGGGGCUGACAGCACAGGCAAGCAUUUAAAUGAAAGGAGAGCAAAGCAAAGCUGAGGAAUGGCAGGCUUACUUGUAAGUAGCUGAUUUUUCUUCUUCUUGGCAUGCUGUAAGAUGAAGUGCUCUUGCCAAGGGUUUCAAAUCAAGACUGCUAUCAUUAAAAUUCACUUUCACUUUUAACCUUUAACAAAAGAACAUGUAUGAGGAUGUUUUGAAAAAAUACCAGGUUCAAUUUAUGUAGAAAUUAUUGUUAUACACUGACUGCCUUGUAUAGGUACAAAAUUGCCAUUACUCUAAACUGGAUAAGAUUAGCAAAGAGUAUCUGAAAUCAUGAUGGGGAUUGAUCUACUAUUCACUGAGGACAAAGAAUCACCCAGGCGAAAUUUAAACCACUCCCCAUCCACUGAGAGCUGAUACUCUGAUGUAAAAAGAAGCUGCAGAGAUUGUGUCACUUACAAGGAUAAACAUAAAAUGUUUUCCCUCAGAGAGAAUCAAGCUUUCCAUUUCCCAGUCUCCCUUGCUAUAAGGUGCCAGGCAGGUGCCUUAGGUUCCUCCAGCCUUGCACUCAGGCCAGAGUUGAUUGGAAGGGUGUCUUCUGCCCUGCGCAGGGAUUUUGAUGGCAUAGAUGAGAUAUGGGAUGUGGUACAGCAAUGUAUAAAACGUUUAAAGAGGGAAAGGAUCCAAUCAGCGAGACAGCAAAGCUGUGAGAACCUGUCAGAAAUGAACAAAUGUGGUAGUAGCAAAAAAGAAACUUAAACUUUUCUGAAUUUUUAUAUUCAACACAGUGAAGAAAGAAUUAGCAAACUGGAAAAUAUAUCCAAAGAAAUUACCUAAGGAGCUACGAAACAUAGAGGGUAUAUUAAGAGAUAGGAAAUGUAAAGCAUCUAGUAAGAGAUAUAUAUAUUAUUAUUCUGAGCCCAGAACCAGAGUGGAAAUAAUAGGGGGAAAAGCAAUACUUAAAGUGAUUGUUGUUAUGUAUUUUCCUGAACUGAUUAAAAAAACAUAAAUACAGAGAUUCAUGAAGAACAACAUAUACCAGUUGGUUAAAGGAAAAGAAAUCAAUGCAUAGACAUCUGUAGACUCUACACAGAACACUAAAGACAAAGAAAAGUUCUUAAAAGCAAUCACAGAGAAAGGUCAAAAAAAAUCAGAAUGGCAGCAGACUUCUCAAAAACAAGAGAGAUCAAAAAAUUAGAUUGUUAAAGCAUUAAGAGGAAAUAAAUGUCAACCUAAAAUUGUGUAUUCGGUUCACUAUCUUUAAAGAAAAACUGAAUUUUAAGGCUGAACUUCAGGAAUAAAGAAAAUGGUCCUGGAAAUGUAUAAAAUGAGAUGAAGUGUAUUAUGGAUUCCUUCCUCUCUGACGCUGCUUCCUAUAACUGUCUGCUACAGAACUUGCACAAAAUUCCUGUCUGUUAACUUCUGAGAGAACACUUCCCCUUGGAGAUACCCAAGCU